rnacentral:lncRNA from 1 species
CGCAACUAACAAUUUAGUAAAAAUAAUUUGUUGAUAUCUUAUACAGUCUUUGGAUAUAAGUGAAAAUAAGCCAAAUUCAAAUAUUAAAAUAUGACCUUGACCUUUGACCUUGACCUAAUUUUCAUUUUUUGGGACCAAGGACCUCAAAUCAAAAGAUCCUAGGUCUCUAUCACUUAUGGUUUAUAAGAUAGAAAUUCAUAUCACUUAUAUCAGAUGCAUAAGGGGAAAUAACUCUCAUAUGGAGCGGUCAUAUCGCUUCGGUCAAAAUAGGACAAAUCAUGCGAAGGAUAUAACGAGCAAUUUUGUAAAAUAAAUUUGUCAUAAUCUUUUACGGUUGCGAAGGAGAUGCGCUAACAAAGAAAACAGUGUUUGGGGAGAUAACUCCUACAAAGAAAAGUAUUUGUUUACGCAGGGUAAAUUUCAAAAGCGCAUAAACUGUUCGAUAUCAUAUACAAAAUAUCUAAGCGACAUAUUGCGAAACAAAUGUUUAUCGCAAGAACAAAAUUAGGCGGAAGAAAAAAAAAAAAAAAAAAAAUAAUCAGAAGAAAAACAAUAGGUCUUUCCACAGAAAAGUGGAAAGACCUAAUAAAUGUCAUGCAGCGUUGUCAUAAUAUAAAAAUCAGGAGAUGUGAUAUACUUGCCAAUGCAACAACAUUAAACCAAUUUACACUAAAAAAUAACAAUAAUAGGCAAUCGUACAAACAACGAGAAAACACGAAUAUAUAUAUUGUCAGGUAUAAACAAAAGGCCCC